AUUGAACGCUGGCGGCAUGCCUUACACAUGCAAGUCGAACGGUAACGGGCCUUCGGGUGCCGACGAGUGGCGAACGGGUGAGUAAUACAUCGGAACGUGCCCGAUCGUGGGGGAUAACGAGGCGAAAGCUUUGCUAAUACCGCAUACGAUCUACGGAUGAAAGCAGGGGACCGCAAGGCCUUGCGCGGACGGAGCGGCCGAUGGCAGAUUAGGUAGUUGGUGGGAUAAAAGCUUACCAAGCCGACGAUCUGUAGCUGGUCUGAGAGGAUGAUCAGCCACACUGGGACUGAGACACGGCCCAGACUCCUACGGGAGGCAGCAGUGGGGAAUUUUGGACAAUGGGCGCAAGCCUGAUCCAGCCAUGCCGCGUGCAGGAUGAAGGCCUUCGGGUUGUAAACUGCUUUUGUGCGGAACGAAAAGCCUUCUUUUAAUACAGGAGGGUCAUGACGGUACCGUAAGAAUAAGCACCGGCUAACUACGUG
rnacentral:rRNA from 1 species